rnacentral:rRNA from 1 species
CCUACGGGUGGCAGCAGUGAGGAAUAUUGGUCAAUGGGCGAGAGCCUGAACCAGCCAAGUCGCGUGAAGGAUGACGGCCCUACGGGUUGUAAACUUCUUUUGUCAGGGAGCAAUUGGGUCCACGCGUGGGCUUAGCGAGAGUACCUGAAGAAAAAGCAUCGGCUAACUCCGUGCCAGCAGCCGCGGUAAGACGGAGGAUGCGAGGGUUAUCCGGUGUUAUUGGGUUUAAAGAUUGCGUAGGCGGAAUAUCAAGUCAGCGGUAAAGAUUCGGGGCUCAACCCCGUCGUGCCGUUGAAACUGAUGUUCUUGAGUGCGCGAGAGGUAUGCGGAAGGCGUGGUGUAGCGGUGAAAUGCACAGAUAUCACGCAGAACUCCUAUUGCGAAGGCAGCAUACCGGCGCCCAACUGACGCUGAAGCACGAAAGCGUGGGUAUCGAACAGGAUUAGAUACCCGUGUAGUC